CAGCAGCCACGGUAAUACGUAGGUCCCGAGCGUUGUCCGGAUUUAUUGGGCGUAAAGCGAGCGCAGGCGGUUAGAUAAGUCUGAAGUUAAAGGCUGUGGCUUAACCAUAGUACGCUUUGGAAACUGUUUAACUUGAGUGCAAGAGGGGAGAGUGGAAUUCCAUGUGUAGCGGUGAAAUGCGUAGAUAUAUGGAGGAACACCGGUGGCGAAAGCGGCUCUCUGGCUUGUAACUGACGCUGAGGCUCGAAAGCGUGGGGAGCGAACAGGAUUAGAUACCCGCGUAGUCCCUGUCUCUUAUACA
rnacentral:rRNA from 1 species